rnacentral:lncRNA from 1 species
CCCUACUGGAUGGCCCCUGAGAUGCUGAACGGUGGGGCCUCACGAUUUAGCUCCUGAGCUCAGGGGGCUGGGAACUGAUCAGUGUCCCAUCAUGGGGGAUAAGGAAAGAGCUAUGAUGAGACGGUGGAUAUCUUCUCCUUUGGGAUCGUUCUCUGUGAGAUCAUUGGGCAGGUGUAUGCAGAUCCUGACUGCCUUCCCCGAACACUGGACUUUGGCCUCAACGUGAAGCUUUUCUGGGAGAAGUUUGUUCCCACAGAUUGUCCCCCGGCCUUCUUCCCGCUGGCCGCCAUCUGCUGCAGACUGGAGCCUGAGAGCAGACCAGCAUUCUCGAAAUUGGAGGACUCCUUUGAGGCCCUCUCCCUGUACCUGGGGGAGCUGGGCAUCCCGCUGCCUGCAGAGCUGGAGGAGUUGGACCACACUGUGAGCAUGCAGUACGGCCUGACCCGGGACUCACCUCCCUAGCCCUGGCCCAGCCCCCUGCAGGGGGGUGUUCUACAGCCAGCAUUGCCCCUCUGUGCCCCAUUCCUGCUGUGAGCAGGGCCGUCCGGGCUUCCUGUGGAUUGGCGGAAUGUUUAGAAGCAGAACAAGCCAUUCCUAUUACCUCCCC